UGCGCUUUAGAUCAUGUGCUUAGAUCGUUAAAAUAGGGCCCCUAAUGUUCAUUAUUUGAGUUGUAAUGUGUGUGAUUGGUUCUUUCAGCUGUGUGACUGCCGAUGAACUUCUGAUCGUGUGUUUCUGCCUUGAUGAGAGGAAAUACUGGAUAUAACUUGAACAAGGCGGUGACACUCAUGUGGACAGCAUCACACAGGCUAUUUCUGAGGGUGUUUUUCAAUCCUUGAGGAACAGGAAGAGCAGCGUGAGAAACUCAUCCUGUGGAGUCUGUGGCGGGUCGGAUGAUGUGGGAUCUCUGUCGGUCCGGAGGGAAACACAGAUGACAUCAGAGCAGAAGACGAGCGGAAUUUGGACGGCAGCCAGAGGGAGGGCGGCCAUGUUGUCACCAGAGCGCCGGAGACGUUUCAUCCGCGACACACUUCUGCUUUAUUCUCUCGCUCUUUCUGGAAGCGGCUUUGACAUGAAGCUGAACCUCCUGCUGGACACUUCAACUCAACAUUACUAAUCGUAGAUGACAUCAGCUCACAUGACGUUACAAGUGCUUCAGCUGGAUAAUUUCCAGCCUCCUGAAAACCGUGUUCAGAGCUCCUAAAGUGUUUAUGAGGAGUCUGAGCGGCGACGUGACGGCCGGUCCGGUUUAAACAAUGCUUGUGUGUGACGUGUGUAACGGAGCGUGUAUGAGUGAUGGAGGCAGACGCAGAACAGACGCCGGAGCAGGUUGCUGCCUCUAAGACACUUGUUGAUAUCAUCACAUCAGAUGAAGCUUCAGAGAAAACAGACAGGAGAAGAUCUGGUCAAACCCACCAGCGCUGGAGAACACUUACGCUCGGUGCGUGAGAGAGUCGGUCCUCACAGAGUCUGCGCAGUUCAAGCCUCCUCCAAGAGCUGCAAUCAGACGGCGGGAUGAAAAGGCUGAUUUUCUGCGAAUUAGCAUGAUAAGCGGGAACACAAAAUCAAUCCCCGUCCUUGUGAGGCCGCGGCUGAUUGCUUUGAACUGUCAAAAAAUGGCAGAAUCAAAUGGAAAGUGCUGGAGGUUACAGGACUGAUUUGCUGAAGAGGAGAUGGCUAGAGCUAUUGACACAGCUCUUGAGACAAUAAUUGGGUUAUCAGAGAGGAACAGUUCAAGGACCACAGGGGCCAGGACGCAUUUGCAUUCGAUUUCCACCCAUCCGCGCGCUCGCAACGUUUAAAACGCCGCGUUCAUAGACUGCCGGAUUAACGGCGUCAUUAUCGAUGCAAAGUUUGACGCCAAAACUUUCACCAUUUUCUUUAGUUCCCUCAUUUAUUUAUUUAUUUGUUUGUUUGUUGGCUCUCUAAUAUAUUCGCUUAUUUAUUUUUCUGCUUAACAUAUUUAUUUAUUCAUUUUCACAAUUAAAGAAGCCAGACUUUGUAAUGAAUGCAGAUGACUGUGAGUGCAAAACCACCCAGACAAAUGCAGAUCUCACCAUUUUUUGAGCUGCUUUUUUUUUUUUUUUUUUACCAUUUAAGGUAGUUCUUGAAAAAACAAACAUGUUAUUUUAUUUUUUCUGAAAUAUCUCUAAAAUAUUAUUUACAGUGACAUUUUCAAUUGUGUUGCAAUCAGUCAUGUGACACAUACCAAACAAUAUAAUAUGAUGUCAGUCCUGGUAUGAGGUUUUAACUGAAGUGUCAAUGGAAUUUGAAAGCUUUCAUUAUUUAUGAUGAUUUAAUUCUAUUCCUCGAUCACACAAAUUGUCAAGUAAAUAAAGAGCACAAGUCAUAUGGACCGCUGUACUUUUAUGAAAUGUUUAUUUUUUGAUUACACUUGGAUCUUGGCAGUAAAAAUAAAGUAUGGAAACGAGCAUGAAAAUCCUGCUAAGCACAGGAAAAUAAAGUGCAUUUUUAUUUGGAAAGACAUGAGGGAAAAUAAAUGAUGGCAGAAUUUUUAUUUUGGGGUGAACUAUCCCAUUAAUUUAGCUUAACAAUUCAUUCCCAGCUGACAGGGAACGUUCUGUCAAGGUUCUCUCAAAGUUAUGAACAAACGUUCUUCCAGUAACAUUAUUAGAACGUUCAAUCAGAGUUAUCUGGUCUUUAAUAAUGAUCU